AAGUCUGCACACACCGACACUCCAACACUUCGACUUCCUGCGAGCGGCGGCGCUGUGAGAGCGAGUGUGUGGGCGUGUCUGUGAACCAACGAACACUUGAAACAUGAAACAUGAAACAUGUUCAGUUAUCCUGUUAAACCACUGCUGAACUGCCGUUCACGCACUGACAGCUUUCUGAUCCGGGCCUUCAUUUCCUGCAGGAGGACGAGCUGUUUCGCCUCAAACCAGAGGACGUGGAGGAUUCACUGCCAGUGUCAUGAGGACUGGUGGCACUGGGCAGCGAGGACGAGAGGGAGACCCAGGUGAGCUGCAGGGGAUCCGCAGGUGAGCUGCAGGGGAUCCGCAGGGGGUCUGUGAUGUCCUUCAGGCGGGACGAUUCCAACGAUUCAUACGAUGUUAUGAGCACAGAGUCAGAACGACGUGCCGGUCGUCACUGAGUCCUGAGACUAAUGCUUCAAACGUCUCCUCGUGCUUCAGACUGUAAAUGAUCUCUGGCGGAUGGCUGGAGAUGGUUUUAUUCAUAGUUAAUAAGUAGGAGAUCUCAGAUAUUGUCCCUCCACUUCUGUCUCAGAGCAGUCAGAGGUGAAGGGCAUCAGCUGCUUCAAACUCCCAACAGAACAGAAUCCUCUCGGUGAGACGGACCCAGCAGGUUCCAUCAGUUUCUCCUGUGUGAUAUUUAUCCACUUGCUGCUCUCAGCGCUCCUUCAGCUCAGCACUAACCUUUUGUUUCAUUAGCACCCUGCAUGUGUGUUAUUACUCUGUUCCCUGUAUGCACACAGAUCAUGAGUGGAGUCGUCAGGAGGCUCUGCCAUUUACAGCUUAUACAUUCAUUUCUUUUUUUUCUCCCUCGCCCUUAAUGGACCAGAAAUCACGACAGCACUGGAAAAGAUUUGAUUUAUUGGACGAUGUGACAGAAACUGACAGGUUUCAUUCCACUUGCCUUCUCGUUCACCCACACGGCGUCUCUCUCGUUCCACUCCCCUGGGUGCAAUUUCAGUCCUCAUAAAAUCCAAAUGUUUCUUUUUCCAAUUCCACAAAAUCUUAAACUUUUCUGCGUCUUUCUUUUUAAUGUCUAAUUCACCUGAUUGUGCCGCCCCCUCGUCAUAAACCCGCCUGAAACCCUCUCGUCUCAUGUCAUUUCUCCUCUGUUAGAUCACGACCGCUUUCUCCUUCACUUGGAGUUUUUAGUUUCCAUUUGUGUGUUUUUUCCCCUCGUUGUUUGAAUCCUGACUUCUGUGCACUCUUAAUGCUGCAGUGGACGUUUUCCCAGUUCCUCAGAUGAACCGUGUUCUGGCCCACAGUCUGAGCCGGGUCAGUCCCUCCACGUCAUCUUGUGCCGCCUCAUCUGUAUGAACCUGGUGUCUUGUUCCUGCUCUCCUCUGACCUUUGCAGCACGCCGCUGCACUGGGCAUGAACAGAGGAACAGGAGAAGCACAUUUCAAGGUUCAGUAAAUACCAAGUAAAGAUCAGCUGAAUGGAAUCAGUCUCAGAAACAAUCUGCAGCGUGUUUAAUAAUGUGUGAAUGUGCAACAUGUAGUGAUUCUGUCACUGCUGAAAAGGUUUUCAUCUUCUGAGUUCACACAUAUAAAACACACACCGUCUU